GCCAGAUAUAUGCUUUUGCCAUUGUCUCUGACAAUGUAGUGGGUCGUCCUGAGCAAGAAAAAAAGAUUAAAGCUAUAGGACAAUGGGAAGUUUUCAGGCACAUGCAAAAAAGCCUGGUGUCAGAAAAAACUAUUAGUAAUAAAGAUAUAUGUUUAAAAGUUUGGGUAGUUCGAUAAAGCUACUAUUUAUGCAUGGAAAAUGUGUAUAUAUAAAUCUAUUAUGUAUAAUACACAUGAUUCUUAUAUUUAAACACACACACACACACACACACACACACACACAUGAGAUUUUGGAGCAGACACUAUCUAUAAUCUUUUCCCAUUUACAAGCUUAAAUAUCAUCAAAAUCAGCUAGCCAGUAUAGAGGUAAAUAUGUAUUUUUUAAAUCUAAAUUUGAAAAAGUAAGAAACACAUAUAUAGAGAAAUAUUUGAGUUGCAUAAUCCUUAAACAUACCACACCAAUAAAAGAACUUCCCAGCAUUCUUCCAUCUUGUUUUUACAAUUCAUAGGAAACAAUCUGUUUACUUCUUUUCUGUUAGUGAACUGAAAGGAGUUUGAUUAUGGUUCUGUUCUUUGUAUCUACUACUGCUUUGGGUUUAU
rnacentral:lncRNA from 1 species